GACGUAGGGGGCCAGCGUUGUUCGGAAUUACUGGGCGUAAAGCGCGUGUAGGCGGCAAGGCAAGUCGGGUGUGAAAGCCCUGGGCUCAACCCGGGAAGUGCAUUCGAUACUGCUAAGCUAGAGUCCCGGAGAGGAUGGUGGAACUCUCGGUGUAGAGGUGAAAUUCGUAGAUAUCGAGAAGAACACCGGUGGCGAAGGCGGCCAUCUGGACGGUGACUGACGCUGAGACGCGAAAGCGUGGGGAGCAAACAGG
rnacentral:rRNA from 1 species